rfam:Cariama cristata contig49655, whole genome shotgun sequence.
GCCCAGCUAGCUCAGUUGGUAGAGUAUGAGACUCUCAAUCUCAUGGUUGUGGGUUCAAGCCCCCACACUGGGAG